rnacentral:misc_RNA from 1 species
GCUUUUAUGUACAAGGAGGAAUCAGUGCACUGGUUUGAUGGUUCUUGUACAUCUUCAACCGGCAACUAUUGCCUGUUUUGGCAGCCUUGCAAAUAUUUCCGCUAGAACUUGAAUAAACGAUGUAUUCCUUUCAUCCCUUUUUAUAAAAUUAUUGUAAAAUUUAGCACCUAAUUGUUCUGUUAGAAACUGAUGCAGGAGUCAAUUUUGGUGUGUUGAAUGCAUUGCAGUAUACUUUUGAUUUAUGAUUGUGUGCUAAUUAUGAUCUAAUUAUCUUUACAGGUCAGAUUCCUGGGACAAAUCCUGCCUUUUCUGGAAUGUUUCCUAACAUGUUUCCUUUAGGGGCCGGUCAGUUUGGUGCUCUUCCAGUUAUGCCAGUUCAGGCAAUGACUCAGCAGGUCUUUAGAGUUAAAGCUGCAUUAUAUUUCUCUUUUGGAACAAUUUUCAUUUGCAUAAAGUGAUUAUUCCCCCUCAAAUAAUUAUGUGAUGUAUAUUGUUGCUACAGGCCACUAGGCAUGCUCGGCGGGUAUAUGUUGGAGGACUUUCCCCUACAGCUAAUGAACAAUCCGUAGCAACUUUUUUCAGCCAUGUUAUGGCUGCAAUUGGAGGAAAUACUGCUGGCCCAGGGGAUGCUGUU